AAAUGGCCAUCUGGUUGCUAAUUCUGGAAAUAUGCUUAGGCUACCGAGUUUUUUGUUUUUAAGUUGCUAUGGUUACGAGGAAGCACUGACAAUGACAAAUGAUGAAAAACUACACCUGUUAAAUGAGGGCCAAAUGUUCCUGCAGGAUUUAUUUUUGUGAAUGAAAAAUAAAGGUCACCUUCAUCUUUUGGAUUAAAGUAAACUCUGAUAAUGGAGACAACACAAUCCUUCAAAAUGCUGGUAAUCAGCUACAAGACUACGUGCUGUCACAAUGCAGAAAGUCAUAAAUGUCAUCUUCACCACCAUGAGAACCUCAACACUACAGUAAUAUUACAGGUUUCUCAGCAUCUUGGAGUGGUUAUAGCAGACAGAAAUGAUUAAUCAUGAAACAAAUUAUCUGAACUUCAAGACCACUGUUUUAUGUUGAACCUGUAUCUUAUUCCAGUGAGAAAGGUGUCUGCUGCUUAAAUGACUUGCUCAUAUUGCAUGUAAAGUUUUUUUAUUCUGGAUUCUUUACUUUAUAAAUGAGCAGGCUAUGUGAAUUUUCAAAACACUGAACUAUGAAUAUGAACAUCAGAGGCAUAUUAUUAUAUAUUAAUUUUGUAUUUGUUUUUAUAAUGUAAUGUGAAUCCUGUUGGCACUAGAGUAAAUACAGAUCAUAAAAAUGCUCAUAUAUUAUAAUUACAAUACUUUUCCAUCACACAUGCAGAUAACAAUAAGCUCAUGUCUGGUAUAGGAAGUGGGAUAUUGAAAGUAUGAUGAGAAAGAAUCUGGAAGAAAAGACCCAAGACACGUUCAUAUAUUUUAUUAUGUGCGUAACUUAAUUCAUAUUUCUGUACGUUAAAUAUUAAUAUAAUAGACAGGUUGUAUCAAUCCAUUCAUCAAAAUGUUUAAUCUCUGGAAUUACUGAAGAGAUUUAAAUAAUCUGAUACUGGGAUCUACUAAAAAGUUGUCAGACAAAUUUAAUAUUGGUCUGAAUCAAUCCAUUAAUAAUACAUCUGCUCUUCGCUUAUGGAAUUGUGUUGAUGGUUAUAAUCAAAAUAACAAGUAGAGGGAGGGAAAUGCAGAAUCUCAGAGCUUAGAACGAAGGAUAUAGAUAUAUGUUUUAUAAGAAGGUACACGUGUAGGUUUUAAAUCAGGCCUGUUAAGAAAUAUUUAUGCUCCUAUGAAUACAAAAUGUUGAAUUUGAAGGAAAAAAAAAUAUUAUAGAACUGUAAGGCCAAAGGACCAAAUUAGUACACCCACUUCUUCUAUCAUUCAAUGGUUAACACUGUCUGCAGACUUUCAUAAGCUUUGCCAUAGCCUUCAUCAGUAUGUGUUUUCAAGAGUAUAAAAUUACUGUAUGAUUAUUUUUUUCACAAUAAAUAAAUAAAUUAUGUAGUAAAUCCCUUCCUUUAAA